rnacentral:lncRNA from 1 species
GCCUAUUAGCUCCUUUUAGUAAAUAGUUUAGGUCCAAUAUCAACCUUCAUAGAUAAAAAGAACCUUUCCCCAAAAAUGUUAAGGGAAAAUGCUUAUUAUUUCCAAGUUUAUACUUUAGAAGUUACAACAAUCAUAGAAUACAAUAGGAGGAAAUAGAAAGGACACAUAAUUUCAAAUUCAGCACCUGUCAUUCACUGCACCUCGAUUACAAGAAGCACAACUCAAAGCUCCUCAUCCUGCAGGCAGCAAGCAUUAGAAGAUGGAAAAUGCAUAUAGCACGCAUUUUAAAAGGCAAAAGGUUCAUGAAAAUUAUCGAAAGGGGUUAUAUAAUCAAAUUAUAAGAUGGGUGUAUCACACGUAGAGCUCAAACAACGCCCCAAGAUCAAACCUCACCAUUCAAGUUGAGAUUAAUGGAUUACACAAAUCGGAGAACUAAACAUUAUAUGUUCACACAUGCAGGUAGGGGGAGGGGGAGCGGGAGGGUGAGUUCUUACAUGGUAGUUGUAAGGUGGAUCACAUCCUAUUAUUGGUGCAAGUUGAUUGGUCUAGAGAAUGUGAAGUGGAUUGUGUUAGUUAUGGAGUAAUAUGGACCAUAGAUUAAAUCCAAUAGUUAAAAUUCCAUUGGAUUUAAUCUUGUGGUCAAUUAUCUAUACUAGUACUAUCAGUUUCUAGUUGACCAUAGUAUAAUAUUUGAGUUUUGAAUUUAAAUGGAUUGGCUCUAUAAUUACAGGACAUCUUCAUUUCUCUCAAUUUUGGAUUUGGCAUAACAUUUGAGAGAGAGCAUAAAGAGGUAACUAAGUGGGAGCUUUCCAUAACUCCGGUGAAAUUCUUGUUGGCUUUCGAUAGAUCUUUUCUCAGUAUAUCCAUUGUCAUUUCCAUGGACGACGGUGCAUGAUCCAGUGUAGCACAAAUCUGAGCUCAAUAUCAAGAACACUUCAUUGGUGGUGUUGAAGAAGCUUUGGGUGGUUUUGGUUCGAUUUUACACUUUGAGAGUUUAUUAUUCUGCAUUGUAGUUGUAAUAAUCUUUUGUAUACUACACUUUAAACUCUACAAAUGGUAUCAGAGCUUAGGCUAGUGGUGAAAAGUGUUAAAACAACCUAAAAAACGGAUUGGAAGUUGAAGGGGUUCGAUUUUGUUCGAAAACAUCUUCAACAGAAACUUUAAACCCAUUUUUUAGAAAAACGAUGCACCUGGUGGACGAAUGGAGACCACCACCAGACUUUAGACAUCAAGCAGAAUACUCUGGUUCAGUGCGGUGACACACGCGCUGGUGGUGAAGGCGGCACGUAAGACCAUGCGCAGAGGACACGUACGGCGCUUGCGAACGCGUGGAGGAGAUUCAGUCGGAGGUGAAAAAAGACAGAUUGUUCCUUGAUGAAUUUCUGACCUUCUGGUGGUGUUGGAUUUCAGUUUGGUGUACUGUGGAAGCAAAUACAGUCUCGAGCAGAAAAGUGGAAACGGAGAAACUUUUUCGUUGGCGGCUCAGUGGUGUUUCCUGGUGUUGCAGCAAUUGUUGGAUGACUUAGGGCAGUUACUGGAGGCCCUAGAUCAAUAUAGACUCGUAUCUCUCCUUAAAAUAUGAACCAACAGAUUGGUUCGCUCAGUUUACGCGCUUUAACACCCUCUCGAAUUUACAAUUGAAAUAUUGUGUUAUUUGCUGCCAUAUUAUUAUUCGACUCUUGUGAUAUCGGUUAUGUGUUACUUGUUGUGAUAUCAUCGUUUAUGUCAUUUUAGAAAAUAAUUUAUACAUAAAUUGGUUUGAGCUUGCGUUUGUGUGUAGGUAAAUUGGCUAAGUAAAACUUUUUUUCGAAAACAUUAUUUUGUUACCAUGGCCUCUCGAGUUGAAUUGGCACAAUUCAAUAGUAAGGGAGAUUAUUC